rnacentral:tRNA from 1 species
GAAAAAUUAGUUUAAUAAUAGAAUUGCAGAUUGUCAAUUUGUAGGUACAGUUGCUGUAUUUUUCG